GAUGAACGCUGGCGGCGUGCCUAAUACAUGCAAGUCGAACGAAACUUCUUUAUCACCGAGUGCUUGCACUCACCGAUAAAGAGUUGAGUGGCGAACGGGUGAGUAACACGUGGGCAACCUGCCCAAAAGAGGGGGAUAACACUUGGAAACAGGUGCUAAUACCGCAUAACCAUAGUUACCGCAUGGUAACUAUGUAAAAGGUGGCUAUACUACCGCUUUUGGAUGGGCCCGCGGCGCAUUAGCUAGUUGGUAGGGUAAAGGCUUACCAAGGCAAUGAUGCGUAGCCGAAUUGAGAGGUUGAUCGGCCACCUUGGGACUGAGACACGGCCCAAACUCCUACGGGAGGCAGCAGUAGGGAAUCUUCCACAAUGGGCGAAAGCCUGAUGGAGCAACGCCGCGUGGGUGAAGAAGGUCUUCGGAUCGUAAAACCCUGUUGUUAGAGAAGAAAGUGCGUGAGAGUAACUGUUCACGUUUCGACGGUAUCUAACCAGAAAGCCACUGCUAACUACGUG
rnacentral:rRNA from 1 species